rnacentral:rRNA from 1 species
GCCGCGGUAUUUUGACCGUGCAAAGGUAGCGCAAUCACUUGUCUCUUAAAUAGAGACCUGUAUGAAUGGCUAGACGAGGGCUUAACUGUCUCCCCCUUCCAGUCAGUGAAAUUGAUCUAUCCGUGCAGAAGCGGGUAUAAUUAUACAAGACGAGAAGACCCUUUGGAGCUUAAGGUACAAAGUUCAACCACGUUAAGCGACUCCACAGAAAGCAAGAACUUAGUGGCAAGUGAAACUUUACCUUCGGUUGGGGCGACCACGGAGGAAAAGAAAGCCUCCGAGUGGACUGGGCUAAAUCCCCAAAGCCAAGAGAUACAUCUAUAAGCCGCAGAACAUCUGACCAAGAAUGAUCCGACUGAUGAAGCCGAUCAACGAACCAAGUUACCCUAGGGAUAACAGCGCAAUCCUCUCCCAGAGUCCAUAUCGACGAGGGGGUUUACGACCUCGAUGUUGGAUCAGGACAUCCUAAUGGUGCAGCCGCUAUUAAGGGUUCGUUUGUUCAACGAUUAAAGUCCUACGUGAUCU